rnacentral:rRNA from 1 species
GUCCCAGCCGCCGCGGUAAUACCGGCAGCCCGAGUGAUGGCCGAUCUUAUUGGGCCUAAAGCGUCCGUAGCUGGCUGCGCAAGUCCGUCGGGAAAUCCACUCGCCCAACGAGUGGGCGUCCGACGGAAACUGCACAGCUUGGGACCGCAAGGCUCGAAGGGUACGGCCGGGGUAGGAGUGAAAUCCUGUAAUCCCGUCCGGACCACCGAUGGCGAAAGCACUUCGAGAAAACGGAUCCGACAGUGAGGGACGAAAGCUAAGAUCGCGAACCGGAUUAGAUACCCCGGUAGUCC